rnacentral:lncRNA from 1 species
UUUUUUUUUUUUUUUUUUUUUUUUUUUUUUUGUCUUUUUGCCUUUUCUGGGGCUGCUCCCGCAGCAUAUGGUGAUUCCUAGGCUAGGGGUCUAAUCAGAGCUGUAGCUGUCGGCCUAUGCCACAGCUGCAUCUGCAACCUACACCACAGCUCAUGGCAAUGCCGGAUCCUUAACCCACUGGGCAAGGCCAGGGAUCGAACCCAAAACCUCAUGGUUCCUAGUCGGAUUCGUUAACCACUGCACCACGACGGGAACUCCCUCUCUUGCAAUGAUUAUGUUUGCAAUUUCUCUUAUCUAAUUGCAUUAGCUAAUGUCACCAGUACGUACACACACACACACACACACACACACACCGCAGAUAUAUAGCUAUACAUAUAGACAAUCAUCUUAAUAAAGUAUUCAUCAAUUUCUAUUUUCUCUAGUGCUUAUAGCAACAACACUGUUGAAGUCUGUCAAAUGGAACUAUAUCCAGCCUCUUGGGAUAGACUAUGAUGGAAGUUAAUGGGAGAAAGUGAAUGUAUAUGUAUGUAUGACUGGGUCACUUUGACAUACAGCAGAAAUUGGCACAACAAUGUAAACCAACUAUAUGCUAAUAAAGAUUUAAAAAAAUUAAUUUUGUCAAAGGCUUCAUCAGCAUCUAUGGAGAUAAUCAUAUGAUUUUCUUAGAUAUACUGAUAUGGUAUGUUACUUAAUAGAUUUCCUAAUAACUGAACAAACCUUUAAUUCCUAAAUCGCACUUGGUCAAGGUUUAUUAUUUUCUUAUUGUAGUUUUGUAUUCUAUUUAAUAUUUAACAUAGCCUAUUUGAGUCAGUACUCAUAAGUGUACUUUUCCAUUUUUAUAUUCCAUCAGGUUUUGUGUAAAUGUUAUCUUGCUUCAUAACAAGGUAUUAGGGAAGUUUUUCUUUACUCUCCUUGCUCUUAAACAACUUAAGGAAUAUGAGACUAUCUGAACUUUGAAGAUUUGGUAUAAUUCCCCUAUCAAACCAUCUGGGGUCACAUUUACCGUCUAGUGAUGCUUGCCAAGGGUGCUAAAACAGUUCAAUAAGGGAAGAAAUAGUCUUUUCGACAAAUGGUGUCCGGGACAACUAGAUAUCUACAAACAAAAGAAGGUAGGUCCUGCACCUAUACACCAAGCCUUGGAUAGGACUUCUAGAUAUCCACAAAUAAAAGAAGGUAGGUCCUGCACCUAUACACCAAACUUUGGAUAGGACUCCGUCUCGAAUACCGCCCUCCUGGGAUGUGCACAAGGAAAACCCCGCCCUCGCGUCCGUCCUGCUUCUAACCGGUCUUCUGCGCUCCGCUGAGCCCUCUGGCAGGACGCCGACCUCCAAGCCUGAUCGAUUUGGAAAGCAUGAUUUGGAUUCAGGUCCAACUACAGCCCCCAGCAUCUAGAACAAACGACCGCGGCCCGCAUACUUCCCUAUCCCCUCCGCAACUCAUCCAGAUCCUGGCGCCCCCGAGGCUCCGCCCCUUAUGCUGAUCGUGGUGCUGGUGCUGGUGCUGCCCGUCCCGUUUACGUCUGGAUUUGCGCUUCUCUCCGUGGCGGAGUUUGGUUUUCUCCGCUGUUGGCGUUGGCUUCGGCGCUCAGCCCCGGCCCCUUUGGCCUCUCGUACCGGUUGAGGCACGCCACCUGCUCCUGCUAGUACCCCGCGGCCGAAGCUUCCCUCCUUGGUCCCUCGGAGAUCCUCCGCCAAAUCCGCCCGCGCGGGCCUCGGUUGUGGCUCUGGGUCUCUGGUGGAGGGGAGGCCUUUUCUCUUUCCUCUAGGCGCCUCUCUUCAAAGUCUACCAAAGCAAUCUUUGUAUCUUUUCUUCCGAAGGAAAAGCAUUUAUGUUUUGGAAAACGGCCCAGCGCCCUCUUCUCACCGACAUGGCGAUUGUGGCGCCUUCCUGUGAGCCCUGGACAGAAAUGCUCUGGCUGUGAGCAUCCUUAUUGAAGUUUGAUGAAUCAUUCGGGUGUUUUCUUGUUGUGGACUGACUGUUCCUAUUUUGCAUGUCUGUAUACCUACAUCUGUCUCCAUGUGUGUAGUUAAAAGUUUAUAAGAAACUCUGAGAGUAAGGAGAUAGAAAUGUUGCAGACAUGAUAUUUGACCUUUAAUACUGGGUUAAUUGCAUAGCAUGUAACAACAAAGGAUUGUGUAAUGACUCCUACAAAUUAAUACCCCAAAUGAAAACUCAAUAUGAAAACGAUGAAGAGGUUUGGGUAGGUUCUUUAAUAAAGAAAAUAAAGGAAUGACAGAUUCAUGAAAAGAUGCUUGAUAUCGUUAGCAACCUGGGAAAUGCAAAUUAAAAUCACAAUAUUAUGUAUUAUACACACUGAAUAGUUAAAACUAAAAAUAGAGUGACAGUUCCAGUAUUGGUUGAGAAGUGCAUACAGCUAAGGGAAACAUACAUUUUUUUUUUGUCUUUUUUUUUUUUUUUUUUUUUUUUGCUAUUUCUUUGGGCCGCUCCCGGGGCAUAUGGAGGUUCCCAGGUGUGGCCCUAAAAAGCAAAGACAAACAGAGUAUCAACUUGGAAGUUACCUUGUGGCCCAUAGGGUUAAGGAUCAGCUUUAGUUGCUGCUGUGGCAAGGGUUCACUUCCUGGCCAGGGAACUUUCACAUGCCAUGGACAUGGCCCCCAAAAAAGUAUCAACUAAAUAUGAUGUUGAUACCACAACAAUAAUAUAUACACAUGCCCACAAGUUGAACGUAGGCACUACUCAUAGCAUAAUUUGAAAUAUCCCUAAGUUGUAUUGCUUUCAUGUUUUUUCAUUUGGUUUUCUGUCUACUGUCCUGAUUGGAUGAUUUCCAUUAUUCUAUCUUCCAUAUCACUAAUUCAUUCCUCUGCAUUAUUUAUUCUGCUCUUUAUUGCCUUUAGCUCAGUUUGUAUCUUUGCAACUGAAUUUUCUAGUUUUUCUUGGCUCCUCCUUAUAUUUUCUAGUUCCUUUCUGAGAGAAUCUGCAUUACUGUUCAUAUCCUGUCUUAAUUCCUUCAGUAUUUUCACUAUCUCCCUUUUGAACUCAAAGUCUGUCAGACUGCAGAGGUCUGUUUCAUUGCUGACUGCUUUAGGUGAAUUCUCCUGUUCCUUUAACUGGGAAUCGUUUCUGUGAUUCGUCAUCUUGCUUGUGCUUUUCUUUUUCUGUGAGUUUGGGGAAGCCAAACUAGUCUUGUAAGGCUACUUCUAUGCAAGAAUACUCCUUUGUAUUUUGGGGGGGGAGGGGGUUACUAUUUACUUUUGGUGUGGGAGUUUGAAUAUUUGCUAUCUCUUUCUUUGGUGUGAGCAAGCUGUUAUUCUCAGGAUGCUCAGUGUGUUUUCAGGAAGAAGGAGGCAAUAGGUAGGGCCAGCAGUCAGUGCCUGGUCGUUGGGCUCUCACCAACAGGAAGGAUCUGGAGGAAGGUGGUACAGGCUACUCCUAGUUGCAGGGCCCUGGGAAGUGGUAAUAAGCUCUAGGCAGAUCUUCAAGGUGACCAGAGCAUUUGGCAGUAGCAGCAGCAGGGUUCCCAGGGGAUUGAGAACAACACCACCUUGUGUUUGAUUGCAGUGCCCUCCUCUGAGGUUCUUGGAACCGCAGGUGGUGCCUGUUCAGGGAACCCUAUUGGGAGCAGGCCAUGACCGUAUCUAGAGUCAGUGAUAACUUUGGUGGUUUGCCCCCGCCACCUGUAGACCAUGCAUGAGGCAACUUGUCUCACUUAGCCCACAUAGAAGAUGCUGUACAGGCUGCUCCUAGCUGCAGGAUCCUGGGAAGUGACAGAGACCAGGCGUGUAGGUACUGCCUGGAACGUCUGGCAGUGGUAGCAGCAGGGCGGGUGUGUUCCUGGAGGUACAAGAGCACCAACAGAUGGUGUUAGGUCACAAUGCCCUCCUCUGUGGUGCCCUUUAGGUGAAUGGGGAUGCAAGUGAUUUUUGUCCAGAUAUCUCAAAUGGCAGCGGGCCACGCCCACUUCUGGAAUCAGGGAUAACUGCUGCCCGCAAACCACACAAGAAGCACUCUGUCCCACUUAGCCCAUGCAGGAGGUGCUGCACCAGCUGCUCCUAGUUGUAGGAUCUUGGGAAGGGACAGUCACCAAGUGUCUGGGUGCUGCCCAGAGCGUUUGGCAGUGGCAGCUGCAGGGCAGGUGUGUUCCCAGUGGCAGCUGCAGAGCAACAGCGUAUGGUGCUUGGUUGCAGUGCCCUCUUUUUUUCUUUUUUGCCAACCCCUGAGGUGAUUGGGGUUACAGUUGGAGCCCACUCACAGGCCCCCAGUGGUGGCAAGUCGCGCCUUCUUCUGGCCUCUGAAAUGACCACCGCAGUCAGUCCCUGCUACCUAUAGAUCAUGCAAGAGGCACCACGUCACACUUAACCCCCUGAUGCCUUAGCCAACACAAGAGGUGCCUGGCCACCGGUAGCCUGCACAAAAAGCACCCAGUCUCCCCUAAAUAAGCAAGAGCUUCUCGCGGCUGGUAGCCAGUGCCAGAGCUGCCCCGCCCUCUGAGAGCCCGUGGGCAUGCGCACGCUCCAAGCAGGGCGUUUCCUAUGGCGUCUGCCCAUCCUCCUCUGCCCUCCCCAACAAUGGCGCCUUUCCUCUCUGGCGAGUAGGGACUUUCUCCCUGGUUCCCGCUGAGUGGCGUUCCCCCCCUCCUCAGCCUGUGGUGUGCUGAUCCCCCGCCCGUGGCACACUGCUCCUUAGCCCCUCAGACUGUCCCCACACAGCCAGCCCCAGUCCUCUCCCGGAGACUGACCUCCAAAGCCUGAGUCUCAGCGCCCAGCCCCUGCCAGCGUCUCAAGCUGUGGUGUCCAGGCUGGUGGUUCAGAUGAUCUGUGUGGCUCUCACUCUGCUUUGCUGUUCUCAGUCCUGCUGCUGUGCUUUUCUCCACGACUUUGAGGUCCUGCCAACGCCGCUGAUCUUUCCGUCAGUUAGGUAGUUUCCCAGGAUGUGGCUUCUUUUCUCCUUCACAGCUCCCUCUCGGGAAUGCUAGUCCUGUCCUGAUUCCUUUUCUCUCUCUUUUUCUUUUGUUCUACUCAGUUAUGUAAAGAGUUUCUUAACCUUUUCGGAGGUUUAAGUUCUUCUGCCAGCAUUCAGUUGAUGUUCUGUGAGAGUUGUUUUACAUGUAGAUGUGUUUUUUUUGAUGUGUUUGUCGGAGAAGGUGAGCGCCACCUCUUACUCCUCCGCCAUCUUGCUCCGCCUCC